CAAGAUUUCCAGAAACCCCCCUCUAGCGUAUCCCAUGCGCAGAGCCCUGCUGUACUGAUCUCAUAUUGGUGAAGUAACAUGUUUGUUUUGUGCAGUGCCAAUGAAUGUAAUGUGCACUGCAUUUGUUGGUGUCUUGUCUCUGGACUACACAUAAGUAGGAUACCAUAGAACAAAUAUGGACAGGGCUGGUGUGUUUGUAAAAG